rnacentral:rRNA from 1 species
AUGCAGGGUCCUGAGUUCCGGCUUCCUGAUCGGCCCACCGCAGACUGCGUUAGUUUCACGUCUCUUGAUCUGCCGACCACGGAUUUGAAGGCCGCGUGUGUUGGUUUUAGGGAAGACCUCUGGUACCAUAUCAACUUCUCGGCUCGCCAGACAGACGAUGAUGAGCACAUCUUAUUCGCCGAGCUACGCUACGGCCGGUGCUCUAACCUACUAACCGUCGAGACAUGCACCAUCCUAGAAGAGCCGUUGGACCAUUUGACAAGCAGCUGCGCAUUGUGUCCCAGUGAAUCCAAUAUUUUGCACCCAAAUGCCGUACAACUCGGAUGUGGAAAGGAGGGGCAGGAAAAGGAAUUUUUCCGUGAGAGGCGUGCAUGGAAUGGGCACACAAAGGAACUUUUCAGCAAGAGCAAUAUGCUACAGACCCCCUUCUUCAUAGGAGGGAAUGGGCCUCGAUAUAGACUAGAUUGA